rnacentral:misc_RNA from 1 species
AUAAGAUUCACUUUGUAACUCAUAUUUGAUUUUUGAAGAAUAAAAGGACAACCACAAGCCCGAAGGGAUUAAUCUUCUGAAUACAAAGAGAUACCAUGGUAAUACAAAAAAUAAUGGCAUAAAUCCAUUAUUUGAGAACAAGAAGGUCAUCAAAUGAACCCAACUGCUUGACUUGAGAAAUAAACGUAUUGAAAUACAUAUUUAAAGACCUUUCUGAACCAUUUCACAGCAUGCUAUUUGACUCGAUUAACUGAUAUUAUAAGACAAUCUUAAUUCUUAACUCAUGAACACAUUGCACACAGUUGCAUUCAGAUAAUCCAAAGAAAUUAAAAGGAAAAGCUAAAUAAUAACAUCAUUAUAGGGAUAAUGAAAUAUCAUUUCAGAUGAGAACUUGAGAUACUAG